AAGGAGAGAAGGUGCGCGGUCUCCUCUUCAGUUAGUGACCAUGUCCUUGUUGUUCUGCCCUUCAGAAGAUGCACCUGAAGGAGAACUGGUGAGAUCCAUCCAGAGGCCAUCAUCAGACCCUGUGGAGGAAGGAGCAGCAGGGUUUCCGAGAGCACCCCGAAGACGCCUCCUGAGAGCUCAGAGUGACCACAUCUGGCGGAAGAAAGAAAAAAUGUAGUUACUGAAUCCAAUCCAGUGUUUGUGUCUCCCGCAUUAUCAACAGAGGUGGUCAAGAAGGUUCCAGUCAGCCCCGCGAACACAUGGAUAUAGAAGGAGCCACAUGAAGGUAAGGAGUCUCUGUUGUCUUUUCCCUGCUUUCCCUGCAGACAAGGGUAUAUUUACCUAACCUUGC
rnacentral:lncRNA from 1 species